rnacentral:rRNA from 1 species
CCUACGGGAGGCAGCAGUGAGGAAUAUUGGUCAAUGGACGCAAGUCUGAACCAGCCAUGCCGCGUGCAGGAAGACGGCUCUAUGAGUUGUAAACUGCUUUUGUACGAGGGUAAACGCAGAUACGCGUAUCUGUCUGAAAGUAUCGUACGAAUAAGGAUCGGCUAACUCCGUGCCAGCAGCCGCGGUAAUACGGAGGAUUCAAGCGUUAUCCGGAUUUAUUGGGUUUAAAGGGUGCGUAGGCGGUCGGAUAAGUUAGAGGUGAAAUCCCGAGGCUCAACUUCGGAAUUGCCUCUGAUACUUUUCGGCUAGAGAGUAGUUGCGGUAGGCGGAAUGUAUGGUGUAGCGGGGAAAUGCUUAGAGAUCAUACAGAACACCGAUUGCGAAGGCAGCUUACUGGACCGUAACUGACGUUGAGGCUCGAAAGCGUGGGGAGCAAACAGGAUUAGAUACCCUUGUAGUC